rnacentral:rRNA from 1 species
CCUACGGGCGGCAGCAGUGAGGAAUAUUGGUCAAUGGGCGGGAGCCUGAACCAGCCAAGUCGCGUGAGGGAAGACGGUCCUAUGGAUUGUAAACCUCUUUAGGCGGGGAGCAAUGCCGGGCACGCGUGCCCGGAGGGAGAGUACCCGCAGAAUAAGCAUCGGCUAACUCCGUGCCAGCAGCCGCGGUAAUACGGAGGAUGCGAGCGUUAUCCGGAUUGAUUGGGUUUAAAGGGUGCGUAGGCGGAUUUUUAAGUCAGCGGGAAACUGUCCGGGCUCAACCCGGGCCGGCCGUUGAAACUGGGGAUCUUGAGUGGGCGAGAAGUAUGCGGAAGGCGUGGUGUAGCGGUGAAAUGCAUAGAUAUCACGCAGAACUCCGAUUGCGAAGGCAGCAUACCGGCGCCCGACUGACGCUGAGGCACGAAAGCGUGGGGAUCGAACAGGAUUAGAUACCCGGGUAGUC